rnacentral:rRNA from 1 species
UACGUAGGGAGCAAGCGUUAAUCGGAAUUACUGGGCGUAAAGCGUGCGCAGGCGGCUUUGCAAGACAGAUGUGAAAUCCCCGGGCUUAACCUGGGAACUGCAUUUGUGACUGCAUGGCUGGAGUGCGGCAGAGGGGGAUGGAAUUCCGCGUGUAGCAGUGAAAUGCGUAGAUAUCUGGAGGAACACCGGUGGCGAAGGCGGCAUCCUGGACCGGUAUUGACGCUGGGGCGCGAAAGCUAGGGGAGCAAACGGG